rnacentral:tRNA from 1 species
GCAUAGCCAGUAAAGCUACGGACUUGAAAUCCAAGGGCAGUGGGUUUGAUUCAUAGU